rnacentral:rRNA from 1 species
CUACGGAGGGUGCAAGCGUUGUUCGGAAUCACUGGGCGUAAAGGGCGCGCAGGCGGUUUGGUAAGUCAGAUGUGAAAGCCCAUGGCUCAACCAUGGAAGUGCAUUUGAAACUGUCAGACUUGAGUACUAGAGGGGAAAGUGGAAUUCCCGGUGUAGAGGUGAAAUUCGUAGAUAUCGGGAGGAAUACCGGUGGCGAAGGCGACUUUCUGGCUAGAUACUGACGCUGAGGCGCGAAAGCGUGGGGAGCAAACAGGAUUAGAUACCCCGGUAGUCC